rnacentral:rRNA from 1 species
GACGAACGCUGGCGGCGUGCUUAACACAUGCAAGUCGAACGGAAAGGCCCUGCUUGCCGGGUGCUCGAGUGGCGAACGGGUGAGUAACACGUGGGUGAUCUGCCCCUUAUUUUGGGAUAAGCCUGGGAAACUGGGUCUACUACUGGAUAGGACCAUGCUGUAGGUGGUGUGGUGGAAAGAUUAGUUUCGGUAAGGGAUGAGCUCGCGGCCUAUCAGCUUGUUGGUGGGGUAAUGGCCUACCAAGGCGUCGACGGGUAGCCGGCCUGAGAGGGUGGACGGCCACAUUGGGACUGAGAUACGGCCCAGACUCCUACGGGAGGCAGCAGUGGGGAAUAUUGCACAAUGGGCGCAAGCCUGAUGCAGCGACGCCGCGUGGGGGAUGACGGCCUUCGGGUUGUAAACUCCGUUCAGCCAUGACGAAGGCCUUGUGGUGACGGUAGUGGUAGAAGAAGCACCGGCUAACUACGUG